GAUGAACGCUGGCGGCGUGCCUAAUACAUGCAAGUCGAGCGAACAGAUGAGGAGCUUGCUCCACUGACGUUAGCGGCGGACGGGUGAGUAACACGUGGAUAACCUACCUAUAAGACUGGGAUAACUUCGGGAAACCGGAGCUAAUACCGGAUAAUAUAUUGAACCGCAUGGUUCAAUAGUGAAAGACGGUUUUGCUUUCACUUAUAGAUGGAUCCGCGCCGCAUUAGCUAGUUGGUAAGGUAACGGCUUACCAAGGCAACGAUGCGUAGCCGACCUGAGAGGGUGAUCGGCCACACUGGAACUGAGACACGGUCCAGACUCCUACGGGAGGCAGCAGUAGGGAAUCUUCCGCAAUGGGCGAAAGCCUGACGGAGCAACGCCGCGUGAUUGAUGAAGGUCUUCGGAUCGUAAAACUCUGUUAUUAGGGAAGAACAAAUGUGUAAGUAACUAUGCACGUCUUGACGGUACCUAAUCAGAAAGCCACGGCUAACUACGUG
rnacentral:rRNA from 1 species